rnacentral:rRNA from 1 species
AACGAACGCUGGCGGCAUGCCUAACACAUGCAAGUCGAACGAGACCUUCGGGUCUAGUGGCGCACGGGUGCGUAACGCGUGGGAACCUGCCUUUAGGUUCGGAAUAACUCAGAGAAAUUUGAGCUAAUACCGGAUAAUGUCUUCGGACCAAAGAUUUAUCGCCUUUAGAUGGGCCCGCGUUGGAUUAGCUAGUUGGUGGGUAAAGCCUACCAAGGCGACGAUCCAUAGCUGGUCUGAGAGGAUGAUCAGCCACACUGGGACUGAGACACGGCCCAGACUCCUACGGGAGGCAGCAGUGGGGAAUAUUGGACAAUGGGCGAAAGCCUGAUCCAGCAAUGCCGCGUGAGUGAUGAAGGCCUUAGGGUUGUAAAGCUCUUUUACCCGAGAUGAUAAUGACAGUAUCGGGAGAAUAAGCUCCGGCUAACUCCGUGCCAGCAGCCGCGGUAAUGUGACUACUG